rnacentral:misc_RNA from 1 species
GCCUCGCUGUCCCUCCUCGGUCCUCGCCGCCCUCGGCGUCGUCGCGCGGG